rnacentral:rRNA from 1 species
AUACGGAGGAUGCGAGCGUUAUCCGGAUUUAUUGGGUUUAAAGGGUGCGCAGGCGGGCGAUUAAGUCAGCGGUGAAAGGCUCGGGCUCAACCGGAGCAGUGCCGUUGAUACUGGUUGUCUUGAAUGCGGUCAAGGCCGGCGGAAUGUGGCGCGUAGCGGUGAAAUGCAUAGAUAUGCCACAGAACACCGAUAGCGAAGGCAGCUGGUCGGGCCUGCAUUGACGCUGAGGCACGAAAGUGCGGGGAUCGAACAGGAUUAGAUACCCUGGUAGUCCGCACUGUAAACGAUGAUGACUCGCUGUCGGCGAUAGACAGUCGGUGGCCAAGCGAAAGCGAUAAGUCAUCCACCUGGGGAGUACGACCGCAAGGUUGAAACUCAAAUGAAUUGACGGGG